GAGUAUAAGGUCUCUAUGGCUUUGUUUUUUUAAGACGCCAGCUUGAUGGUAUUAUAGAUCUUUACAUCUAGAAUUUGAUCUUUCCGAAAAAACCUACCUUUUUAAGACUGAAGGAUCAAAAUCAAUCAUCUUUGGAUUAACCAAUUUUAAGGCAGGUCAUUUUGCCUUCUUAAUAUUUAAAGAUUUUACUAUCUAUCCUUAUAUCGUUUAUUUCAGUAACGCUGGGGGUAUUUUCCUCAUCAGGGGGUUGGGCCCCGCUGAAAGGGUAUAAGGCUUAAGUUCCCAAAGUCAUUUGAUGGACGUGGUCAAGCAAAACCGGAUCCAAAUCUUGAUAGAAGUUGCCAAACACAUCGGUAUUUAAGAUAAAUUAGUAACCACAACUGAAACAUAUGAUAAGGCAACAUCAACAUUUAUGUGCUAGAAAAGCAUCUAGGUAACAUUAGAACUUUAAGAUAUUUUUACCUUUGUCGUUGAAAUCAGCGGUAGAGGUAUAGACCAAAUGAACAUUCGAAAUGACCCAUACGGAAUAUAUGGCGCAAACCCGUUGGGAGAGUUGUUAAUUCUCUAGGUAAGCUUCUUGUGCCUCUGAUUAAAUUCAUUCUUCAGGGGGAUAGACCCUCUGAAGAAUGAAUUUACUUUAAUAAAAUAAGAAAAUCAACCUCAACCACCUUGGAAUCCACCAAGAGCCUUCUUCUAUCGCUUUUUUUAAUAGGGAUUUCAGCUUUGAUUUUCCUUGCAUAUUUGGUUACGAAGGUAUCUAAGCUAGGACCAAAUAAAUGUUAAUAUUGAAGGUGUGGAUAAGUAAACAGUAAACCCUAUUAAAGGGUAUAUUUCUUUCUUUUUCUCAGUUUCUUUCCUACCCUCUACAAAGGGUACAGUUUAGUUUUUUCUCUCCACUCUCUAUGAUAUUGUUACACAUAGUCCGACGGACAAAGGAACAUCAACCUAGAGGGUGAAAAACCUUACAAGGUUUAAGGUGAACUCGUAGGUUUAGACCUAGUUAUGGUCGUUUUUGUAGAGCCUUGUUACAAGAUCGCGGUACGGUUUACACAGGCUUUUUCUUCUCGUUUCGUUUCCAUCGUACUGGUUUUCACUUGGUUGGGGAACCUGACGACGCUUUUUGUGGUAGUCUAAAGUUUCAUCGGGCCAGAUUAAGUUUUUAAAGGGGAUUAACUCUUGCGGAGUGUAUAAAAAAAUGUCAUCGUCCUAGUCUUAUUGAAUGAGGUAAUUCAAGCGGAUGAACAAGUUGUGAUAUAAACCUAAGACGAGAAGAUUUUCCUUGCAGACGAGAUUGUUAAGGGAGGAGUAGAUGGUUUUGUUGGCCUUUACAAAGUUUUUUUCAUCCGUAUGCCGCAUGUUUUUCGAGUGCAGGAAGAAAUAGAGAUUUCUGCCCUACAGGAUUGGUAGGUUGUCGAUAAGGUAGGGGUAACAGGUAACUCGGACGAGACUUAUUAGGGGGAAAACGGCCUAAUAAUGGUUAUAUUAGUAUUUUCCGAUUAAAAGCCCUUAAAAUCUGGUUCGAAGACUAUUUGAUUCUAAAAGCCGAUUUGGUAACGAUUGAGAAGCUAUAUAAAGAACGACUUUCAUAGGGACUAGGGUGACUAUUGCUCAUCCGGGUUUAUUAAGCUAACCCCAGCAACGAGUGGGUAUGGUGUAUCAAGGUCGUUGAUGCUUUCGACGUUUUUUUGUCGUCGCUAUGAUGAUCUUUCAUGUCAAAGUUAUAACGGGUAUGCAUUAGGAAAUAUAUCUGCAACUCCGCCUGCCUGUGAUUCUACCUUAUUCGGGCGAUUAUAUGGGUUACAUGGGCGUCGUUAUACUACUCUUCGAUAAGGGGGGCCUUGUUUUCCUUGUUUUGGAAGACGUGGGGUGUGACCUAAAUAUCGAACAUGAAAAGGUCAAUCAGGUAUUCCUAGCCUAUGGGUAUAGGGUCCUGGUAUGUUUGGGCAAUGUACUUUACGGGGUUUCGGUUUCGUUCGGUGGGGACGUUAUUUAUUUACUUAAGGUUUCUAGAACCCGUAUAGGUUUCUCCCAAAAGGGCAGGCGAGUAGUCUCUUAUAAAGAUCCAGGGUUAUAUGGGUUACGGUCUAGCGACGGUUCUUUGUGUUCGGUCUUUUGUGUUAUACGCAUGGACGGUGUGGAAGUAUUGAGGUUUAUGGGCCUAAACAAUGUCAAGGAGGACUUUAUGAGGUUGGUGGGGUGCUUAGGCAAUAAGGAUUUGCUCAGUACUUCCCUUAAUGCUUGUAUGGAACAGAGGUGUAACCUAGGUCUUGUCCUAGUCUCCCUAGUCUUUGACGAUUAAGUAUAUUUCGGUAACUCGGUCGGGUUGGUCUUUGAUCUCGACACACGUAAUAUACGUGGCGUUCGUUAGCUGGGCAUAGUAAGUUAUGCUGUCACACUUGUGCUAUGGUUCCGUUUGGGUACCUUUAUGGGGAAAUCGUUUCUUUUUAUCUGUGCUACAGCGAAAUAAAAUAGCGUAACUUUUUCUGAUAGGUAUAGGAUACAUGGAUUGGGAAGAUCCCCUAAGACACAGUCUUUCGCGCUUAUAAAUAAAGUAAGGUAAUUUUUAUUCUUCGGUUAAGACAA
rnacentral:rRNA from 1 species